rnacentral:rRNA from 1 species
GAUGAACGCUGGCGGCGUGCCUAACACAUGCAAGUCGAGCGAUUCUCUUCGGAGAAGAGCGGCGGACGGGUGAGUAACGCGUGGGUAACCUGCCCUGCACACACGGAUAACAUACCGAAAGGUAUGCUAAUACGAGAUAACAUACUUUUAUCGCAUGGUAGAAGUAUCAAAGCUCCGGCGGUACAGGAUGGACCCGCGUCUGAUUAGCUAGUUGGUAAGGUAACUGCUUACCAAGGCGACGAACAGUAGCCGACCUGAGAGGGUGAUCGGCCACAUUGGAACUGAGACACGGUCCAAACUCCUACGGGAGGCAGCAGUGGGGAAUAUUGCACAAUGGGCGAAAGCCUGAUGCAGCAACGCCGCGUGAGCGAUGAAGGCCUUCGGGUCGUAAAGCUCUGUCCUCAAGGAAGAUAAUGACGGUACUUGAGGAGGAAGCCCCGGCUAACUACGUGCCAGCCGCCGCCGUAA